GUUGUCGAUUGAGCAAUCGAGAUGCAUUAGUUAAUGGCUUGUGGCGGUUUCGAGGCAAACUUCCGUCGCUUCGUCGGGUGUUGAUAUGUUCUUUUUGCAGAGUGUGUUAAUUUUAGCAAAAGGUUAUUUUUCGGUUGGAGAUCUUAACUAAGUAAAUUCGUCACAGAUUUUGUUUAUUUUUUGAUUUCCGGAAGCUUGAGUUGUAUAUGGAGACGAAACAAUUUGCGUUUGCGUUCAAAUUUUAGAAAAUGAAGUGUUCAGUUUCUAAUUGUGGGAAAACUUAUUCCAGUUGUAGACAAGAGGUAAGCUUUCAUGAAGCUCCACCAAUCCACCUGAAAUUCGGAAGCAAUGGAUACAAUUUUGCCAAAUACAAUAAGGAGAAAAGAUUUUUUUUUUCGUGUGUUCGAAUCAUUUUCAUGCCGAAUGUUUCGAAACUAAUGUACAGUUGCAUAGAAAACUUGUACAAGAAAACUGCCGAGCGAAGUAAAGGAAGAAUGCUGUGCUGUCGAUUCAUUCAAAUAAAUCGCUUGAUAGUUGUGGAAACAUGCGGCUACUGUUUGAUGCGAUAAGUGUUGUAGAAACAAAUAGUAUCGAUACAGAUAAACAAUUUCAAAACAAAAGUUGUAGUCAAAUUGACCCGAAAAAUUUUAACGUGACACAAGAAACCUCGCUGAGUGAAAACGGUUAAGAGCUUGUAAUAGUUACUAGCACAUAUCAACCUCUGAAUGAGCAUUCAUACGCACGCAGUUCUGCAGGAAAAAAAAUUACCUUCUCGAAACAACAUCAUCAUCAGCAAAAAAAUCUGGAAUUGCAAUUGGAAUUGAAACAAAAAGAUAAGGAGUUAAAUGACAAUCAGAAUGCCAUCACUGAUCUUCGUCGAGCAUGCGAAAACCUCCAAAAAUUCAAUAGAGAGGAGUUUGUAAAGCGCGUAAAAUCUGAACUACGACCAAUUCUUAGUCCAAAUCAAGUUGAUAUUAUUAUAAGCCUGAAGAAAAAACUGCACUGGACAGCUGAAGAAAUCGCAUUAUCAUUCACUAUUGGGUAUCACGGAGAGGGUGUUUGUAACCUUUUGGAAAAAGAACCUACAGGGUGGACCAUUUAAAGUGGAAGCAUCUGGCAACCCCAUAACUUUUGACAGAGAUGUCAGAUUAACAAAUGUCAUACCGCGUUGGAAGCGUCAUUUCAGUACAAUUGUAACCAUGGAACAAUACACACCUAAACAACGCGCUGAAACUGUUCAGCUGUACAUUCAAAAUAACUUCUCAAUUGUGUUAACUAAACGUGCGUGGAAAAAUAAAAAUAAAGUUAAAACAUCGCCUGGAGACAACACUAUACGUCGAUUAUAUGCCAAAUUUAUAUCGUCUGGUAGUGUUGGUAAUGCCAGUCAACUGUCCAGACAACGACCAAGACGUUUCGACGAGAAUAUUGAUGCCGUUCGAGCCAGUGUUGCAGAGACUCCAUCGACAUCAGGUCGCCAUCGUUCGCAAGAGUUAGGCAUCUUUUUAUUGUUCCAUUUGUUCGUGAAAAUGAAUUGGACAAUUACUGGUUCCAACAGGACGGCGCUACAUGCCAUACAGCGGCUGCCACGACCAAAUUAUUGCGCGAAAUGUUCCCCGGAAGAUUAAUAUCGAAAAACGGCGAUUAUGACUGGCCACCGAGAUCACCUGAUUUGACGCCUCCUGACUUUUUUUUAUGGGGAUAUUUAAAAUCCAAGGUAUAUACUGGUAAACCAAGGACCCUGGUUGCGCUGAAAGACAAUAUCCGACAAGAAAUUGCUGCCAUAUCGGCCGAAACAUUGGGCAAAGUGAUGGAAAAUGCCGAAAAAAGGGCACAUUUUGCGGUCAAGGCCAGAGGCGGUCACUUACGAGAUAUCAUAAUCAAAAAAUAGUUAGAACAAAUCUC